UUUUCAAACAGACAGUGGGUUUUCUGCUGAGGAAGUGUAACUGAAGUGGCACAUGCUGUAACUUUUCAGACUGAUUCAGGAUAUGGUUAACCAGCAGCUGUCUUCCUCUUCCUAUAUUAUGCAAGUUUCUUUCCUGAAUGGAUGCAGCCAAGUUAGUAUUCACAAUUUUUUUUUAUCUUCCCAAAUCCAGUACUCAAAUUUUAAACUUUGCAAAGAAAUUACUGGUCUUAAAAAAAUCUUUUCCUUUGGCAGAAAGAUCUAUUGUACAGCAAACAACAAAUUCUAAUGUACAGCCCAUUGCUGCCACCUCUUGUCCACUUAGGUAGAAAAUACUAAUGUACACAUUACAUUUGUCACAGGUAGAAGUAAGAUUUCAGUAUCUGAUUUAAUUUUCAUUAUUCUUUGAAUUUCUCCAUGAAAUAUUUAUGUAACACUAGCAAAACCCAUCAAAAUAUACCAAAACACCCAAGUCUUUGUUCAUUACUAACAUUACGCAAACUAGCUAGCUAAAUUAGUAUGUUCCCUGGCUAAUGUUUUUGGUACCAUGUACUGUAACUCAAAUUACUCCAAAUUUAUUAUUAUUAUUAUCCAAGCUAAUUAUUAUAUUAUCCAAGCUUAUUAUUUUGUGACAAACUGAGGUCAUACCUAGCAGUCCACAAAUCAGUCUAAUAUAGAAGUACUGAAAAAUCUGUUAAAAACUGUUUGUGGACACCUAACCAUAACACCCAUAUGUGGGCAUUCACCUAAUUGUUGCCCCAAAGUUGGAGGCACACAGUUGUCUAGAAUUGUCUUUAGUUGUCUUUAUAUGCUGUGGAAUUAUGAUUUCCUCUCAAUGGCACUAAGGGGCCAAAACCUGUUCCAGCCUGACAAUGCUCCUGUUCACAAAGUGGGCGCCAUAAAGACAUGGUUUGCCAAGGUUUUGGUGUGGAAGUACUUGAGUGGCCUGCACGGAACCGUGACCUCAACCCCACUGAACACCUUUGGGAUGAAUUGGAAAGCAGAUUGCAUGCCAGGCCUCCUCACACAGGCCUUCUCUCAAACUCACUAAUGCUCUUGUGGCUGAAUGGACAAAUCCCCAUAGCCACACUCCAAAAUCUAGUAGAAAGCCUUCUCAGAAGAGUGGAGGUUAUAAUAUCAGCAAAGGGAGACCAAUUCUAUAUUAAUGCCCAUGGAUUUUGGAACAAGAUGUUAAACAUGCUCAUGUGGGUGUGAUGGUCAGGUGUCCACACAUACUUUUGGCCACAUAGGGUAUGCAGUCUUGUACUCUUGAAAACUUCUUAGGCGUAAAUACUCUCACAGUAGUCCUUCCUUCCCACAGUGACACUGCUGAGUAGUUUCCUUUUGGCUACAGUAGGCUGCAAAUUUCAGACGGUCUCUCUCUGGUCUUCUUCACACAAGAUUUCCCUAAGAGAAGACUCUUUGUUACUACCAAUACUGUAGUCAGUCUGUUCAGGCAGUUUGUGUAGACAAAACACCUCUUUUCAGUCAAUCAAUGAUUUAAAUUUUCUUAUACUGAGGCACAAAAGAAGAAAAAAGUCUCAAAGUCUAGAAGGAGAUUCAGCAGGCAAAUCUCCUGUUCUGCAAUAUCCCAAAGGUGCUCUACUGGAUUUAGUUCUGGUGACUAGGGAGGACACUGAAGUACACUGAACUCACUGUCAUGUUCAUGAAACCAUUUUCGGACAACAUGUGUUUUGACACAUGGCACAAUAUCAUGUCCACGGAUUCAUACUGUUGAUGCCAAAUACCCUACCAUCUGCAUGUUGUAGCAGAAAUCAAGAUUCAUCAGACCAGGUGACAUUUUCCAAUCUUCAGCUGUCUAGUUCUGAUGAACUUGUGCCUAAUGUAGAAUCAGAUCCGAUAGAUCAACAGUUUCAUGAUGUGGCACCAAAAUCCAAGCUACAGUCAGAGUCGCUGAGAUCACAGUUUUCUGCAUUCUGAUGUUUGAUGUGAAUAUUAAUUAAAGUGCUUGACCUGUAUCUGCAUGAGCUUAUACAUUGCACUGUUGUUGCUAACAGAGCAUAUGUGCAGGUGUUCUUAAGUGGCCAGAAAGUGUGUGUUUGUAUGUGUGUGUAUGUAUGGCAAAGGCGUUAUUUGCCAAAAUGCCAAAAAUUCAUAAAAACAUUAAACUAAACACAUAAAAACACAUAAUGCCUCUCAUAAAAACGUGUCUAUGGCAUGUCAAAACAAUAAAACUGUUAUGCAUU